UACAGAGGUCCCAAGCGUUGUUCGGAUUCACUGGGCGUAAAGGGUGCGUAGGCGGCCGGGUAAGUCUGAUGUGAAAUCUCACAGCUUAACUGUGAAACUGCAUUGGAUACUAUCCGGCUCGAGGAAUGGAGGGGAGACUGGAAUACUUGGUGUAGCAGUGAAAUGCGUAGAUAUCAAGUGGAACACCAGUGGCGAAAGCGAGUCUCUGGACAUUUCCUGACGCUGAGGCACGAAAGCCAGGGGAGCAAACGGG
rnacentral:rRNA from 1 species